GGGGGCGUAAAGGUUUCGACGGGGAGUUUGAGGUAUGGUAAGCGAGCAGAAGCGCGCACCUUCUUUAAAAAGCGUAAACAAAAAUUUAAACGCUAACAAAACAGUUAGAGUAGCUGCCUAAGUGCAGCCGUCAUACCGGGGAGCACUGCGGCUCCGGAUAUGGCGUGACUAAGCAGUGAACGUGUGCCGAAAUAAGCUUUGCCAUCGGCCAUGAAUUAAUGAAGCUACCAAGCUAUAUAGACUGCUGCUUGUCGAUAUAGCGAGGGAAUGCAAAUAAACAGAUACGCUCGUAGAAAGCUAUAUCAAGAACUUUUCGGACAGGGGUUCAAUUCCCCUCGCCUCCACCA
rnacentral:tmRNA from 2 species